rnacentral:misc_RNA from 1 species
CCUUGCGAUGGUUGCCUCGCAUCCUAAUUCUAAUUAGCAUCACUAUCAUGUUCAUCAUCAUCUUCCUCAUCACUUUCUGAGUGGAUAGCUCUUCUUUAUCCUCAAUGUCCUCUUCAUCAAUUUCAACCAGUACACUGCUUAGAUCAUUUAAAUAUUGUUGUUGAUCAUCAUCUUCAAUUUGUCUCAAAGGGGCUUCCAUUUCAUCUUCUUGAAAGGGUUCUUCCCGUGUAGGGGGUUGUCACAUUCACUUGAUUAGGAAAAUCAAUAACAGAUCUCGCUUUGAUUUUGAACACAACCCACCAAUCAUCCUUGUCAUGCUUUAAGCCUAGAUAUAUGGAAUAAUUGACUUAAGCAGCUUGGAUAGUGAGAACAAAUAGUUCAUACCUAUUGAAUGAUCGUUUAUGAUUAACAUCCUCAAGUUUAUAUUUUGGAUGAAUCUUUGUUCCCACAUUUAGUGUUGGAUCAAACCAAUCAUAUUUAAGCAAUACAGUUCUUUUGAUUGAUAAUCUAGGGCACUCCAAUCGUAGCACUUCAAUUAACUGUCCAUAGUAGUCACUCUCAUCAGUAUUAUAAUUAGUCCCCUUGAUGCAUACCCCACUGUUCAUCAUUACCCUAUGUGAGCCAUGACUUUUAGUGUGAAAUUUAUUACCGUUAACUACAUAACCAUUGUAGGACAUAACACUCCUUAAUGGACCCUUUAAUAGAUCCUUCAAGAACUGGCUUAAUAUAUUGUUGAAGGGAUUGUGAACACAUUUAUUAAACCACUUAUCAAAUUCACGCUCUAGUUUCUCAUCAACUUGUUUAUCAUUGAUAUUUGGAUUGGCCAUGUGUAACUCAUCAACAAAAAUGCUGCAUGCAAUGAAAGCACUCAAUUACAUAUUUCGAAUCAAUAAUGGCAUUGCAACCAUUAUAAUAAUUAAAUAUUAGAAAAACUUACUCAAUGGAUGAUUUUACUUCUAUACAAUUCAAUAAGAUGUACAUUUGUGCUGCUUGAAAUUCUUGUUCUGUGAGAUAUCUAACCUUUCCUUUUCCUAGUGGCCUACUAGAAUGAGUGAAAAUUGAUAGAUUCCCUGGAUGUUCAUCCAUAUGUUCAACUGCAUCAUCAUUGUGUGGAACCUUUUGAUGCCUUGUGUUGACAUACAGUUCGAAAUAAUGAGUGCAUAGCGACGAUGCUUCUUCAACUAAGUAUGCAUUGCAUAUGGAACCUUCCACUUUGGCUUUAAUUUUGACAUUGUUUUUUAGCUUCCUAAGGUACCUGUACCACUUACUAUUUAGUCACAACAAGGUUUUUAAUUCUCCAUAUAAUGAUAGUAUACAACAAUAUAUUAAACUACUUACCUCUCAACUGGAUACAUCCACCGAUAUUGCACUGGACCAGCAAUCCAUGCUUCGUAAGCCAAAUGCACUGGGAGAUGUUCCAUGGAGUCAAAGAAACUUGGGGGAUUAUACGCUCUAGUUUAAUAUUAUAGGAAUUUCUUCAUUGAGCUGUAACAUGUCUUCUUCUCUUAGUGUUGUUGAAGUUAACUCUCUAAAGAAAUUGCUCAAUUUGGUCAAUGCUUGCCACACAUUUUGUGGAAGUAAUUCCUUGAAUGCUAUUGGGAGUAAUCUCUGCAUAAAGACAUGACAGUCAUGGCUUUUCAUCCCUAACAUGUAACACCUUCACUUUAGGUAGUUCCAUAUAUUCUACUAUUCUGGUGACUAACGUCUGUUCGGACGGCUGAAAUGUCUAGAACUACCCUUAAAUUAAAGUAAGGAGUCAUAAUUUAAUUUAAUAAUGAUCAAGUAAAGUUGAAGGAAAAUAAAAGAAAUAGAUUAGAAAUCAGUUAAAUACGCACAAGUCCCGGCGAUGAGUAAUUCCUUUGGGAAGUGGCUAAAGAUUGGUAUUUUGGGUCUGUUUGCCACUUCAAUUCAUGUAGGACCUUGUAAAACUCUUAAUUAAGACUCAAUUAAGGUAUAGUUAUGAAUUAAUAAGUCAAAGAAAUGAAAAGAAGUAAAAGUAUUCACACAAGUGACAAACUAAGUAGAUGUACACUUGCUUCCUUUCACACCUAGGAAGUUGGCCACUAAGAGUUAGAGGACUAAAGUGAAUUAAUCAAUAAGUCAAGAGAUAAAUAAAAGAUUGAAGGACUAACUUGAAUUGAUUAUAAAGUUGAGAGAAAAAAAAUUAGAAAUAAUAGAAAAUAUCCUAUGGACCAAUGGACAAAGAAAGAAGAACCAAUGGAUAAAAGCCAAUAUAAGCAAAUCCUUAUCUUUUCCCUUUCCAAACCAGCCGACCAGCUUUCAUCUUCUUCCUUUCCUUUUUUUUUUUUAGCCAUUUUCUCUCAAAAUUUUGAAGAAGAAACUAGACUAAAACCCUAGAUCAAACCAAUUUUGGAGGCCAAAACAAGAGGGAGUAAGAAGGGUUAGUAAUUAAAGCUUGAAGAACCCUAAUUCCAUAAAGGGUUGGAGGAAAUCUGGAAGAAAAGGGAGAGUAGCAACUGAUAUUCUCUUAAGGUUAGUGGUAAAACCUCUAUUUUUGAUCAAGUUUGAGUAAGGAUAACACUAGGGACAAGGGAGAAAUAUAAAAAAGUGAGAAAGAUAAUUGGUAGGGGUGAUGAAACCCUGGUUCUGCCAGUAGGGUUGCAGAACCAGUAACUUUUGAAAAUUCAUAACUUGAGCUAAAAAAAUUGGAUUUGGGUGAUUUUUAUGUCUAUGAAAACCUUGAUGAAUGCUCUAAAACUUUGUAGUUUUGAGCUAAACCUAAUUCCCCUGCUAUGAUGGUGUUUGAGGGCAAAACUGUUUGUUGCUCAAAUAUGAAAAACUAACUUGAGUAAUUAUAGAAGCAGGACACUCGACUUUGAAAAUGCAUAACUUAUGCUCUAGAACUUGAAAUAGUGUGAUUCUUGA